rnacentral:rRNA from 1 species
UGGGGAAUAUUGCACAAUGGGCGCAAGCCUGAUGCAGCGACGCCGCGUGAGGGACGAAGGCCUUCGGGUUGUAAACCUCUUCGCCAGUGAAGCAGGCCGCUUCCUUGUGGGGUGGUUGACGGUAGCUGGGGUAAGAAGCGCCGGCUAACUACGUGCCAGCAGCCGCGGUAAUACGUAGGGCGCGAGCGUUGUCCGGAAUUAUUGGGCGUAAAGAGCUCGUAGGCGGCUGGUCGCGUCUGUCGUGAAAUCCUCUGGCUCAACCGGGGGUCUGCGGUGGGUACGGGCCGGCUUGAGUGCGGUAGGGGAGACCGGAAUUCCUGGUGUAGCGGUGGAAUGCGCAGAUAUCAGGAGGAACACCGGUGGCGAAGGCGGGUCUCUGGGCCGUUACUGACGCUGAGGAGCGAAAGCGUGGGGGAGCGAACAGGAUUAGAUACCC